rnacentral:rRNA from 1 species
GACGAACGCUGGCGGCGUGCCUAAUACAUGCAAGUUGAGCGAUGAAGAUUGGUGCUUGCCCCGAUUUGGAGAGCAGCGAACGGGUGAGUAACGCGUGGGGAAUCUGCCUUUGAGCGGGGGACAACAUUUGGAAACGAAUGCUAAUACCGCAUAACAACUUUAAACAUAAGUUUUAAGUUUGAAAGAUGCAAUUGCAUCACUCAAAGAUGAUCCCGCGUUGUAUUAGCUAGUUGGUGAGGUAAAGGCUCACCAAGGCGAUGAUACAUAGCCGACCUGAGAGGGUGAUCGGCCACAUUGGGACUGAGACACGGCCCAAACUCCCACGGGGGGCAGCAGGAGGGGAUCUUCGGCAAUGGACGAAAGUCUGACCGAGCAACGCCGCGGGGGGGAAGAAGGGUCUCGGAUCGUAAAACUCUGUUGGUAGGGAAGAACGUUGGUGAGAGUGGAAAGCUCAUGAAGUGACGGUAACUACACAGAAAGGGACGGCUAACUACGUG